rnacentral:rRNA from 1 species
UUUUGGUGUGGUGACGGUAGGAGCAGAAGAAGCACCGGCUAACUACGUGCCAGCAGCCGCGGUAAUACGUAGGGUGCAAGCGUUGUCCGGAAUUAUUGGGCGUAAAGAGCUCGUAGGCGGUGUGUCGCGUCUGCUGUGAAAACUCAGGGCUCAACUUUGAGCUUGCAGUGGGUACGGGCACACUAGAGUGCUGUAGGGGAGACUGGAAUUCCUGGUGUAGCGGUGAAAUGCGCAGAUAUCAGGAGGAACACCGGUGGCGAAGGCGGGUCUCUGGGCAGUUACUGACGCUGAGGAGCGAAAGCAUGGGGAGCAAACAGGAUUAGAUACCCUGGUAGU